CAGCAGCCACGGGAAUACGGAGGGAGCUAGCGUUGUUCGGAAUUACUGGGCGUAAAGCGCACGUAGGCGGUUAUUCAAGUCAGAGGUGAAAGCCCGGGGCUCAACCCCGGAACUGCCUUUGAAACUAGAUGACUGGAAUCUUGGAGAGGUCAGUGGAAUUCCGAGUGUAGAGGUGAAAUUCGUAGAUAUUCGGAAGAACACCAGUGGCGAAGGCGACUGACUGGACAAGUAUUGACGCUGAGGUGCGAAAGCGUGGGGAGCAAACAGGAUUAGAUACCCCAGUAGUCCCUGUCUCUUAUAC
rnacentral:rRNA from 1 species